GACGAACGCUGGCGGCGUGCUUAACACAUGCAAGUCGAGCGGAGCGGCGGACGGGUGAGUAACGCGUGUGUAACUGCCCCCCUCUCUGGGAUAACAGUUGGAAACGGCUGCUUAUACCGGAUAGUGGGGGAUGACUCGCGUCCUAUCAGCUUGUUGGUGGGGUAGUGGCCUACCACGGCGACGACGGGUAGCCGGCCUGAGAGGGCGACCGGCCACAGGGGGCUGAGAUAGGGCCGAAAGUCGUACGGGAGGCAGCAGGGGGGAAUAUGGCACAGUGGGGGAGACCCUGAGGCGGCAGCGCCGGGUGCGGAAUGACGGCCUUGGGGUUGGAAACCGCUUUCGGCCAUGACGCGGUAGUGGCAGAAGAAGCACCGGCUAACUACGUGCCAGCAGCCGCGGUAAUAC
rnacentral:rRNA from 1 species